rnacentral:rRNA from 1 species
CGGUUAAGUUAGAAAGGGCGCACGGUGGAUGCCUUGGCACUAGGAGCCGAUGAAGGACGGGACGAACACCGAUAUGCUUCGGGGAGCUGUAAGCAAGCUUUGAUCCGGAGAUUUCCGAAUGGGGAAACCCACCACUCGUAAUGGAGUGGUAUCCAUAUCUGAAUACAUAGGGUAUGAGAAGGCAGACCCGGGGAACUGAAACAUCUAAGUACCCGGAGGAAGAGAAAGCAAAUGCGAUUCCCUGAGUAGCGGCGAGCGAAACGGGACCAGCCCAAACCAAGAGGCUUGCCUCUUGGGGUUGUAGGACACUCUGUACGGAGUUACAAAGGAACGAGGUAGAUGAAGAGGUCUGGAAAGGCCCGCCAUAGGAGGUAACAGCCCUGUAAUCAAAACUUCGUUCUCUCCUGAGUGGAUCCUGAGUACGGCGGAACACGUGAAAUUCCGUCGGAAUCUGGGAGGACCAUCUCCCAAGGCUAAAUACUCCCUAGUGACCGAUAGUGAACCAGUACCGUGAGGGAAAGGUGAAAAGCACCCCGGAAGGGGAGUGAAAGAGAUCCUGAAACCGUGUGCCUACAAGUAGUCAGAGCCCGUUAACGGGUGAUGGCGUGCCUUUUGUAGAAUGAACCGGCGAGUUACGAUCCCGUGCAAGGUUAAGCAGAAGAUGCGGAGCCGCAGCGAAAGCGAGUCUGAAUAGGGCGAAUUGAGUACGUGGUCGUAGACCCGAAACCAGGUGAUCUACCCAUGUCCAGGGUGAAGUUCAGGUAACACUGAAUGGAGGCCCGAACCCACGCACGUUGAAAAGUGCGGGGAUGAGGUGUGGGUAGGGGUGAAAUGCCAAUCGAACCUGGAGAUAGCUGGUUCUCUCCGAAAUAGCUUUAGGGCUAGCCUCAAGGUAAGAGUCUCGGAGGUAGAGCACUGAUUGGACUAGGGGCCCCUACCGGGUUACCGAAUUCAGUCAAACUCCGAAUGCCGAUGACUUAUCCUUGGGAGUCAGACUGCGAGUGAUAAGAUCCGUAGUCGAAAGGGAAACAGCCCAGACCGCCAGCUAAGGUCCCAAAGUAUACGUUAAGUGGAAAAGGAUGUGGAGUUGCUUAGACAACCAGGAUGUUGGCUUAGAAGCAGCCACCAUUUAAAGAGUGCGUAAUAGCUCACUGGUCGAGUGACUCUGCGCCGAAAAUGUACCGGGGCUAAACGUAUCACCGAAGCUGCGGACUGUUCUUCGAACAGUGGUAGGAGAGCGUUCUAAGGGCUGUGAAGCAAGACCGGAAGGACUUGUGGAGCGCUUAGAAGUGAGAAUGCCGGUAUGAGUAGCGAAAGAGGGGUGAGAAUCCCCUCCACCGAAUGCCUAAGGUUUCCUGAGGAAGGCUCGUCCGCUCAGGGUUAGUCGGGACCUAAGCCGAGGCCGAAAGGCGUAGGCGAUGGAUAACAGGUUGAUAUUCCUGUACCACCUCCUCACCAUUUGAGCAAUGGGGGGACGCAGGAGGAUAGGGUAAGCGCGGUAUUGGAUAUCCGCGUCCAAGCAGUUAGGCUGGGAAAUAGGCAAAUCCGUUUCCCGUGAAGGCUGAGCUGUGAUGGCGAGCGAAUUAUAGUAGCGAAGUUCCUGAUUCCACACUGCCAAGAAAAGCCUCUAGCGAGGUGAGAGGUGCCCGUACCGCAAACCGACACAGGUAGGCGAGGAGAGAAUCCUAAGGUGAUCGAGAGAACUCUCGUUAAGGAACUCGGCAAAAUGACCCCGUAACUUCGGGAGAAGGGGUGCUCUGUUAGGGUGCAAGCCCGAGAGAGCCGCAGUGAAUAGGCCCAGGCGACUGUUUAGCAAAAACACAGGUCUCUGCGAAGCCGUAAGGCGAAGUAUAGGGGCUGACGCCUGCCCGGUGCUGGAAGGUUAAGAGGAGCGCUUAGCGUAAGCGAAGGUGCGAAUUGAAGCCCCAGUAAACGGCGGCCGUAACUAUAACGGUCCUAAGGUAGCGAAAUUCCUUGUCGGGUAAGUUCCGACCCGCACGAAAGGCGCAACGAUCUGGGCACUGUCUCAACGAGAGACUCGGUGAAAUUAUAGUACCUGUGAAGAUGCAGGUUACCCGCGACAGGACGGAAAGACCCCGUGGAGCUUUACUGCAGCCUGAUAUUGAAUGUUGGUACAGCUUGUACAGGAUAGGUAGGAGCCUUGGAAACCGGAGCGCCAGCUUCGGUGGAGGCAUCGGUGGGAUACUACCCUGGCUGUAUUGACCUUCUAACCCGCCGCCCUUAUCGGGCGGGGAGACAGUGUCAGGUGGGCAGUUUGACUGGGGCGGUCGCCUCCUAAAAGGUAACGGAGGCGCCCAAAGGUUCCCUCAGAAUGGUUGGAAAUCAUUCGCAGAGUGUAAAGGCACAAGGGAGCUUGACUGCGAGACCUACAAGUCGAGCAGGGACGAAAGUCGGGCUUAGUGAUCCGGUGGUUCCGCAUGGAAGGGCCAUCGCUCAACGGAUAAAAGCUACCCCGGGGAUAACAGGCUUAUCUCCCCCAAGAGUCCACAUCGACGGGGAGGUUUGGCACCUCGAUGUCGGCUCAUCGCAUCCUGGGGCUGUAGUCGGUCCCAAGGGUUGGGCUGUUCGCCCAUUAAAGCGGUACGCGAGCUGGGUUCAGAACGUCGUGAGACAGUUCGGUCCCUAUCCGUCGCGGGCGCAGGAAAUUUGAGAGGAGCUGUCCUUAGUACGAGAGGACCGGGAUGGACGCACCGCUGGUGUACCAGUUGUUCUGCCAAGGGCAUCGCUGGGUAGCUAUGUGCGGACGGGAUAAGUGCUGAAAGCAUCUAAGCAUGAAGCCCCCCUCAAGAUGAGAUUUCCCAUUCCGCAAGGAAGUAAGAUCCCUGAAAGAUGAUCAGGUUGAUAGGUCUGAGGUGGAAGUGUGGCGACACAUGGAGCUGACAGAUACUAAUCGAUCGAGGACUUAACCAAUUU